AGCAAUCAGAACUGAUUCUUCUGUCUUACUCACCAGACUCCACUUCAGUGUACAGCAGUGUUUCCUGUGACAUCAAUAAGGAAAGAAUGAACAAAUUUCUGGAAGUGUCUUUGAUGACACUAUGGCUUCAACUGGCCAAGGUGAACAGCCAACAGGGAGAAGGAAAUCCUCGGGCUUUGAGCAUCCAGGAAGGUGAAGAUGUCACCAUGAACUGCAGCUACAAAACAUAUUCAGUCACCCUACAGUGGUACAGACAGGACUCAGGCAGAGGCCCUGUCAUGCUAAUGCUACUGCGUUCAAAUGAGAAAGAGAAACACAGUGGAAGGCUAAGAGCGACCUUUAACAUCUCUACCCAGAGCAGUUCCCUGUCCAUCACUGCUGCCCAGGCUGCAGACACUGCUGUUUACUUCUGUGCUACAGAUGCACAGUGUGCAGCAGGCACCUGCAGCCCUGACACAAACCCUCAGAGUUCUUUCCUAGACUUUAACAGUGGACAGCAUGGUGCUUAUGUUGUCCCAUGA